rnacentral:rRNA from 1 species
UACGUAGGGUGCGAGCGUUAAUCGGAAUUACUGGGCGUAAAGGGUGCGCAGGCGGCCGAGCAAGUCGAGUGUGAAAGCCCCGAGCUUAACUUGGGAACUGCGCUCGAAACUACCUGGCUAGAGUGUGGCAGAGGGAGGUGGAAUUCCACGUGUAGCGGUGAAAUGCGUAGAGAUGUGGAGGAACACCGAUGGCGAAGGCAGCCUCCUGGGCCAACACUGACGCUCAUGCACGAAAGCGUGGGGAGCAAACAGG